rnacentral:rRNA from 1 species
UACGGAAGGCAGCAGUGGGGAAUAUUGCACAAUGGGCGCAAGCCUGAUGCAGCCAUGCCGCGUGUAUGAAAAAGGCCUUCGGGUUGUAAAGUACUUUCAGUCGUGAGGAAGGUGUUAAGGUUAAUAACCUUAGCAAUUGACGUUAGCGACAGAAGAAGCACCGGCUAACUCCGUGCCAGCAGCCGCGGUAAUACGGAGGGUGCGAGCGUUAAUCGGAAUUACUGGGCGUAAAGGGCACGCAGGCGGUUAAUUAAGUUGGAUGUGAAAUCCCCGGGCUUAACCUGGGAAUGGCAUUCAAGACUGGUUAGCUAGAGUCUUGUAGAGGGGGUAGAAUUCCAUGUGUAGCGGUGAAAUGCGUAGAGAUGUGGAGGAAUACCGGUGGCGAAGGCGGCCCCUGGACAAAGGCUGACGCUCAUGUGCGAAAGCGUGGGGAGCGAAACAGGGAUUUAGAUACC